rnacentral:tRNA from 2 species
GUCAACAUAGUUUAACCAAAACAUUAGGCUGUGGCUCUAAAAAUAGAAGAUACAUCUUCUUGUUAACC